rnacentral:tRNA from 1 species
UCCCAGGUAGCUCAGAUGGUAAAGUGUCUGCCUGCAAUGCAGGAGACCCAGGUUCAAUCCCUGGGUGAGGAA